rnacentral:piRNA from 1 species
UGGGAAGCAAUAAGGUACAUGAGGUUGACC